rnacentral:rRNA from 1 species
UACGGGGGGGGGCAAGCGUUGUUCGGAAUCACUGGGCGUAAGGGCGUGUAGGCGGUCAGGUAAGUGAGAUGUGAAAUGCCCCGGCUCACCCGGGGACCGGCAUCUCAUACUGCUUGGCUUGAGUACGGGAGAGGAUGUGGGAAUUCCUGGUGUAGCGGUGAAAUGCGUAGAUAUCAGGAGGAACACCGGUGGCGAAGGCGCACAUCUGGCCCGAUACUGACGCUGAGGCGCGAAAGCUAGGGGAGCAAACGGG